ensembl:lncRNA
CCACCCACCUAUCUCCACGUAAUGGGACUGGUGCGCAUUUCAGCCUAUUAUGUAUUCAUAUCUGUGACUAAAUAUUGGGGAGAUAUUUUUAUUCACUCCUUCAUUCAUCCCCUCCUCCCCCUCCUCCUCUUCUCCCCCUGAAGUGUCGAUGGAAAAGGGAUUUGCCUAGCAUCCUCCGAUUUAGAAUGUUAAGGUCUACGGAACAGAAUAAUCAUAAUCAGUCAGAUUACAUUAUGAUUCAUAAGCAAGAAUUCCCGGCGAAGAACCAUUAUUUAAUUUCAUGACUGAAUUACCAUGUGUUUGUGUCCUUUUAAGAGGUUGCUCUAUUUCAUAUGCUAAGUUGCCACUUCUCUGGCUGUUCUCUUCAGAAACCUGAUGCCUGACCUUCUAUCACACUGUUAUCUGGCUGUGUCAAUUGGUGAAUAAUUAAGUGAUUACCUUGUAAACUGCCGUAAUUAUAAAAACAUCCAACAAAGGAAUCUUAAAGGUGGGGUAGUGUGAGCUGUGGAAGAUGUAAUGAUUCUGUUACAGACAGGAAAUGUAAUUGAUAGACAGAUCUUUACAAACAGAUUAUUUUCAAAGCUGUUUUAAGAAAAUUCUCAGCACCAAUUUAAAGUGAAGAGGGAAUUGUUUUCCAUUAGCUACUUGUUGUUUUAAGUAAUUUACCCUAACCCUAUGUUAUUUCCUCAUAUCCUGUAGCUAUGCAUUGUAACUAAAGAAAUAUCAGUUGAUUAGAAAGGACUACAAAAAAUAUAAAACCACCAACAAUUUGGUUUGUGGUUUGAUAUAUUUUCUCUCUCUCACUCUCUCUUUCUCUCCCACCUCUCUAUUUCUCCCUCUCUCUAUCGCUCUCUCCUCCCCCCAUCUCUCUCUCUUUCUCUCCCACCUCUCUAUUUCUCCCUCUCUCUAUCGCUCUCUCCUCCCCCCAUCUCUCUCUCUCUCUCUCCCCCUCUCUAUACUCUCUCCACUCCACAGUCUCCAAGGUCAGUCCAAGGUUGUGGGGAGGUCGGGGGCCUGCGCCCCUGGGGUAGUGGCCCUGUCUCUGACAACUCAUCUGCUUCAAAGACUGGAACUGCCAGGCCCCAGGUCAGGAGACUGUCUGGGAGUGUAGCCUCAGCCACCUCCAAGGCUCAGCUGUGAGAGAGGAUGGUCCAUGUCUGUGUGCAGUGUCCAUCCUGGUGGCCUGUGGCAUGGGCUCUCUCCCAUGUUCCCCUGGUCAAUGGCUCUCUCUAGCCUGCUACUCAAGCUUCCUCUUCUUCCUUCUGGCUACUGUAAUGCUGACCCCUGACCUUUGACCUCUCAGUGACCCGCACCAUCCUCUGCUCCUCCAAUCCGUCCCAGACUGGAACUGAGCUACCACACUGCUCUGCCACCAACCAUACAAACCCUCACCAAACACACACAGACACAUACUUCUUCUGUCAGUUUGUAUGGCAUUUCUCACUAUCUCACCAGUACUGUAGAACCAGCUGCAGAUGUUAUAAGCCCAGGUUUUCCUUGUUUGCUGCAUCAGUAAGGUCAAAUUUGAAGAGGACACAUGGAGUGGGCGAGUACUUUGAGAGCUGCUGUUUGGUGAUUAGUUCCAUCCUGUCUGGACAGAACAGCACUGCUGAGAGUUCCAGAGCGUUCUGAGAGUUCCAGCUCCAUGGCAACUUGUGUUAAGAAAGAGAAAGCCAGAGGGAAAAAGAGGGAUUGUUUUGGCACUCAACUGAUGAAGGAAAUGGAAGUUGGACCUAUGUCAUAAAGAAAGCCAAAUGCAAGUAGAUCUAUCUAUGCAACACGUCCCAGGUUGGAAACAGCUGAACAGUGUUGUGUAGUAAGAGAUUGAUGAUGACUGUUGACUUAAAUUCAACAUCUAUCUACUAUUUCCUUUUUAAUUUUUUAUUCCUAAGACAUAAAGGCAGGGUACGACUACGGGGGAAGGUUUUACACUUUAAAAAUGUGUGCCUUGCUGUUGUUAUUUCUUAUACCUUUUUUGUUGAAACACUGCUACCCCAGUUAGGUGUUCAAAAGAUGUAGAGAAGGAAAACAACAGCAAGGUUGAAACAGGCAUCCGCCUAUAUGUAUACGUUGUCCAACCUUGACGUGUCAUGAUGGUGUACAUGCUUGGUGUUUAGUGUAAAAGUGUUCUGUGAUGUGGAAUACUAUCAGCGUUAAAGUGCUAGACUGCAUGGUUAACAAUACAUAUACAGACAUGUUGAGAAAUAAACUUCAUCUAUUGGAAACCAUUUGAUUACAUGCAUUUUCUGUAUGCAAUUCACCUGAAACAAUGUACAAACAUCCUUCAUUGUUGAUCAUUUCUUUUCUCAACACUAUAAAUCAAAAAUGCACAAGUGGAACAUUAAAUGGGAGAUGCGUCUGGGAGGCCAUGAUUGGGGAUCCGAGGAGUUAGUACUAGGAAAAACAGCUGAUUUACCAGACUGAUUGGGGAUCCGAGGAGCUAGUACUAGGAAAAACAGCUGAUUUACCAGACUGAUUGGGGAUCCGAGGAGUUAGUACUAGGAAAAACAGCUGAUUUACCAGACUGAUUGGGGAUCCGAGGAGUUAGUACUGGGAAAAACAGCUGAUUUACCAGACUGAUUGGGGAUCCGAGGAGUUAGUACUGGGAAAAACAGCUGAUUUACCAGACUGAUUGGGGAUCCGAGGAGUUAGUACUGGGAAAAACAGCUGAUUUACCAGACUGAUUGGGGAUCCGAGGAGUUAGUACUAGGAAAAACAGCUGAUUUACCAGACUGAUUGGGGAUCCGAGAAAUUAGUACUAGGAAAAACAGCUGAUUUACCAGACUGAUUGGGGAUCUGAGGAGUUAGUACUAGGAAAAACAGCUGAUUUACAAGACUGAUUGGGGAUCUGAGGAGUUAGUACUAGGAAAAACAGCUGAUUUACCAGACUGAUUGGGGAUCCGAGCAGUUAGUACUAGGAAAAACAGCUGAUUUACAAGACUGAUUGGGGAUCCGAGGAGUUAGUACUGGGAAAAACAACUGAUUUACCAGACUGAUUGAGAUUAUAUGAAAACAUAUGUUUAGGGAAGU